UAGCGUGGUUGCAGCUGUUCAAUGAGAAAACAUAUCAAAUUGGCUGGUUCAUAGUCAGCAGUCAAUAAACAUUGGCCUUCUUCUCUUUUAUCAAAGUGCACAAAUAGAGAACUUAGUGAUAUCACAUGAAAUGUUUGUCUGUUUUGGUGCCUCUUGAUGAGAGGGAGGGCUGUCUCAGAGGAGGAGGUUCAAGCACUGAGAUGCUGAAGAGGAGGGGAAGCAAUUUGGUAAUUAUGUAUCCUGUAGCUGAGCAGGUCUGGAGCUGCCAUCUUGGUGACCUGUUUCUUCCUGGCAGCCACAUGGAAUGUUUCCUCAUUCAUUUCUGUUCCCUGGGUCUCACUUCCUGGGAGACAUGAUGGAUGAACCACAGCCAGCAAAGACUUUGCUCCCCAUUUAUCAUCUUCUGGCUUGCUGAGUGGAGCCAUUUGCUUUCCAACAGGGUCACCAGCCUUUCCCACUGGACCAAUGAUCCUUCACUCUGGGUUAAAAAAAGAAGGAGAAACGUUUCAAUUCACCUCAAUCAAUAGAGAUACCAAAGAACAGCCCUGGAAAAAGAUAUGGCAGGAGGGAAGCUUGCCCCACUUAUCCACUCCCUUCCUUCCAGCCUGACCUCCUGAGGGGCUGUCACUCUCCUCUGGCUCCUGCUCAGAUCUCUCUGGGGAAAGCUGAUAAAGAACAGCAGAAAGAACUGCUUCAGGGUAUUUGAAGAGGGAAAAGCCAGGCCCUUCUUCAAGAAGAAGAAGAAACCAGCCACUUCACAUCAGGGCUCUGUGUGCUGAGAACGAUCGGUCCAGUGAGCAAGGCUGUACAUAUCUCUGUGUGGAUGUAUAUCAGGGACACCGGACUGUGCCAGCUCCACAGAAAUGAUCCAUGGCUCCUGUGAACGCCUACUGGAUUACACCCCCAGGGCUAUAUGAUAUCGAGGGAAAGAAUCAAUGCAGCCCCUAAUAUUCAGGAACAUGUAUAUAAGCAAACACACAUUCUUGCUGACAUCAUUUACAAAUUCCCUGGUAAGCUGCAGAUAACACAAGAAAUCCAUCUGUACUCACAGCUCACGCUUCUGGCUCAGAUCUGCUAGCAUACGUCCCUCUUGGAGCCCCUCAUUCUUUUAGUUGGCGUUCUCUGCCCUCUCUCUUUUUACUUUAAGGCCAGGCUGCCCACUCAUUUGUUUACUGUUAAAAUGAGCUUUUCACACUUCAAUUGAUGCUCCUCAAACAGUAAAGAAUUCAGAUCAUGGUCAGUCCCUGCUCAGCUUAAAUGUAAACCGCUAUGGGUGGGCUCAGGUUUGAGUGCCCAUUACUUGCUGUCAUGUUGUACAUAUGAGUCCAACUAGGUGCCUGAUAUAAACAUUAUUAUUAUUAUUAUAAUAAAAUAGUUGGA